GACGAGGGGUCCUAGCGUUGUUCGGAAUCAUUGGGCGUAAAGAGCGUGUAGGCGGCUUGGUAAGUCCGCUGUGAAAGUCCAGGGCUCAACCCUGGAAUGCCGGCGGAAACUGUCAAGCUUGAGUCCGGAAGAGGCGAGUGGAAUUCCUGGUGUAGCGGUGAAAUGCGCAGAUAUCAGGAGGAACACCAAUGGCGAAGGCAGCUCGCUGGGACGGUACUGACGCUGAGACGCGAAAGCGUGGGGAGCAAACAGG
rnacentral:rRNA from 1 species